GAUGAAGAACGCAGCGAAAUGCGACAAGUAAUGUGAAUUGCAGAAUUCAGUGAAUCAUCGAAUCUUUGAACGCACAUUGCGCCCGCCAGUAUUCUGGCGGGCAUGCCUGUUCGAGCGUCAUUUCAACCCUCAAGACCCCUUCGGGGGACUUGGUGUUGGGGACCGGCUGUUCCCGGCCUGCUUCUUGCAGCGCCUUUAUGCCGCCCCCGAAAUGAAUUGGCGGCCUCGUCGCGGCCUCCCCUGCGUAGUAGCACAACCUCGCAACGGGAACGUGACGGCGGCCACUGCCGUAAAACAACCCAAUUUUAUUAGAGUUGACCUCGAAUCAGGUAGGAAUACCCGCUGAACUUAAGCAUAUCAAUAAGCGGAGGA
rnacentral:misc_RNA from 1 species